UAUCAAAACUCCUACUGUCUAAAGAUAAU
rnacentral:piRNA from 1 species